CCCCCAAGCUUGCUGUCUGUGUGGUGAGCAAGCUGUUUCUUUUCUCACACAAACCCCGGGACUAACAGCAGGUUGACAGAUCUAUUUGUAGCCUCUUAGUAGGUUUUUGCUAUAUGUCAUGACUCAUGACCUAAUCUUUGUUCGCAAUUUGAUGCCUGUCUGCCUGCAGUCAUGAAUUUCUUCAGCAAUCCUCAAAUGAGCUCAUGGUCUGCGUGUGUGCUACAGUGAAAUUAUAUGAUUCAGCAUGUGUAUCAACUCGGACACUUGGUAAACAGAUAUCAACUUGGUGAACGGAUGGAUACGGAAAACUUAUGAUUGAUGCUGGCUUGAUAGGUGCUGUUUGAUCCUCCCCCCUACACAGUCGGUGUCACAACGAACAUUGGAAGUUCAGACGGGAAGUUCACAACUUUUGACUUCGAGUCGCACGCGACCAAGUCAAGACCAAUAAUUCGGGUUAAAAAUAUCAUAAGGGAAAAAUUUAGGGUUGUCUACCUUCUGAACUGAAAGACUAAUACAGUUGUACUUAGCUUAGCACAUUCGAUGAUUCGAUGCUGCACUGUCUUAUUCCUUGUUUCUGUUUUGUGACUGCAGAAUUCAGCAGGGUGAAUUUCCGUUCCGUUUUGAAAACCGAGCAUUCAAAUUUCCGUUUUGCUCAGGUCACCUUGAUAUAUCUAAAUCAUCGUUGGAACUUAGGUUUGCACUGGUAAAAUUAGUAAGCUGUAACUCUAGUAUGCAAAGCUGUUAGGUGCAUGAGGGUGUGCUGUCAAAUUUCUUUUAUAUCUGAAAGGGACCUAUGAGCAAUUGGUGGAAGUACUUGUGUAGGGCUAUAACCCACAGAGCACCAUCUCUACACAUUACUACUACUGCACAGUAGUAAUUUGCACCACUAAAUGCCAAACCCCACACAUAACUCAAGUAAAAGCCAAUGCCUGUGCUUCCUCUCUCUGCCUCUCCUCCACCCCUCCAUCACUGUUUCUACUUGCUGAUGUUGGAGAAGAUGAUUAGGGUUGUUGGUGU
rnacentral:lncRNA from 1 species